rnacentral:tRNA from 3 species
GCCGAAGUGGCGGAAUUGGUAGACGCGCUAGGUUCAGGACCUAGUGUCCGCAAGGAUGUCGGGGUUCGAAUCCCCGCUUCGGCA